CAGAGGAUAGUUUAAGUAAAAUGUUAAUUUUGGAGAUUAAUGAUAAGGAAAUUCUUUUCCUCUGA
rnacentral:tRNA from 1 species